AAAUUUGAAAUCUGGCUCCGGCCCGAGUUGUAAUUUGUAGAGGAUGCUUUUGGUGAGGUGCCUUCUGAGUUCCCUGGAACGGGACGCCAGAGAGGGUGAGAGCCCCGUAUAGUCGGCCACCGAUCCUCUGUAAAGCUCCUUCGACGAGUCGAGUAGUUUGGGAAUGCUGCUCAAAAUGGGAGGUAUAUCUCUUCUAAAGCUAAAUACUGGCCAGAGACCGAUAGCGCACAAGUAGAGUGAUCGAAAGAUGAAAAGCACUUUGAAAAGAGGGUUAAAUAGCACGUGAAAUUGUUGAAAGGGAAGCGCUUGUGACCAGACUUGCGCCGGGCUGAUCAUCCAGUGUUCUCACUGGUGCACUCGACCCGGCUCAGGCCAGCGUCGGUUCUCGCAGGGGGAUAAAAGCUUCGGGAACGUGGCACCUUCGGGUGUGUUAUAGCCCGCUGCUUAAUGCCCUUGUGGGGACCGAGGUUCGCGCUCUGCAAGGACGCUGGCAUAAUGGUCAUCAGCGACCCGUCUUGAAACACGGACCAAGGAGUCGAGGUUUUGCGCGAGUGUUUGGGUGUAAAACCCGCACGCGUAAUGAAAGUGAACGUAGGUGAGAGCUUCGGCGCAUCAUCGACCGAUCCUGAUGUAUUCGGAUGGAUUUGAGUAAGAGCGUAUAGCCUCGGACCCGAAAGAUGGUGAACUAUGCCUGAAUAGGGUGAAGCCAGAGGAAACUCUGGUGGAGGCUCGCAGCGGUUCUGACGUGCAAAUCGAUCGUCAAAUU
rnacentral:rRNA from 1 species